AGAGUUUGAUCCUGGCUCAGGAUGAACGCUAGCUACAGGCUUAACACAUGCAAGUCGAGGGGAAACGACAUCGAAAGCUUGCUUUUGAUGGGCGUCGACCGGCGCACGGGUGAGUAACGCGUAUCCAACCUGCCCACCACUUGGGGAUAACCUUGCGAAAGUAAGACUAAUACCCAAUGACGUCUCUAGAAGACAUCUGAAAGAGAUUAAAGAUUUAUCGGUGAUGGAUGGGGAUGCGUCUGAUUAGCUUGUUGGCGGGGUAACGGCCACCAAGGCGACGAUCAGUAGGGGUUCUGAGAGGAAGGUCCCCCACGAUUGGGAACUGGAGACCACGGUCCAAACUCCUACGGGAGGCA
rnacentral:rRNA from 1 species